rnacentral:lncRNA from 1 species
CAUGAAUGCAAUAAAAACAUAAUGAGAACUACAAGGAAAUAAAUUAAUUCUAAAAAAGAAAAUCUAAUAUAAGGGCAGCAAAGUUCAAAUAAAGCCUGCUCUCUAGUUUCUAACAAGAUCUGUGAAAUGUCACCAAUAUUAGACUUAAUAUUGCAUUGUUAUGCUUCACUUGUUAAAAUAUUUUCAUUAUACGCAAACUUCACUGAAUUUUUGGCCUCUCUUUCUAUUUUUUUUCCUACAUUUUGAAAAUUUCCAUUUAAUAGUUUGCCAGUUAAAAUGAUAAUGUAUUGUAAUAGGGAGGAUUACAAGCCUUUGCUCUUAAGAUAAUAGGAAGCUCACUGCUCACAGGUGUUGAUGAGCUAGGAAAGGAGUAGUGUGGAGCUCCUGGAGGUAGGUAGAACACAGCUACUGCCUUUGGAUGGAAGGAAGAGAAAAUGGCUCGAUUAACCAAGCAUCUUUUCUGCUUGAGAGAACAGUACAAAUACAGUCCUCAGCUGUACAAUUUCGCAGUCGUGUUCUGCACCUGAAGAAACUACCCUUCAUAUUAGAAUAUCUGUCACAUGCAGCUAGAAAAGGUAUCAUGAAGGAAGAGGAGAAUCUUUUUGUGGAGGAGGGAGGAGAUGAGAACAAAUCAUUAUUUGGGAACUGGUAAACAGUAUGCAAAAGUUUGUUUUUCAAGACAUUGAAAAGGCAGAUGACUACCAAAAAGCUGUGACUGACCAUAAGGAUUGGCAAUGUUUGUAAUUGAGAGCUAUUCUAACUGUGGAUGUUCGGAGUAGAUAAUGUCUAGGAAACUUUUUUUUUUAACAAGGUUGUUGGAUUUUGCAAAGAAUUGGAUCUGUGUAAACUGUUCCUUCAAGACAGGUGGAGCUAACUUAUAAAGUCUUU